rnacentral:lncRNA from 1 species
AUGGCCGCCCUCAAGUCCCCCAACUCGGGAUCGACUUCCGCUCCUCUCGGUGACGUCACCCGGAAGCAAGAUGGCGGCAUCCUGAGCACCGCGGAGGCGCCCUCACCAAUAUGGCCGCCCGCUAAACAACGCCCCUCCAGGCCGUCGAGGCUUCCGAAGUUGAACCGGAAGAGAUCGCUUCUCCCUAACCCGGAAGUUGUUGCGCCUCGCCAAAGCCUGCCCAGGGCCUCCGCCGCCAAGGAAAUCCUGGAGCCAGUCACCCCGGGAAUGGGGAGCAGCGUGGUUUGGGAAUCAGAAGGACCUGGGUUCUGAUUCCGAAUGUCACUUGCCUGCUGUGUGACUUCACUUCUCUAGGCCUCAGUUUCCUCAUCUGAAAAAUGGAGAUGAAGACUGUGAGUCCCCAAGUUGGACAUGGGCCAUGUCCAACCUGAUUCCCUUGUUGUACCCUAGUGCCUAGAACAAGGCCUAGCACAUAGUAAGCGCUUACCAAACACCAUAAAAAACAACAACACUGUUCUAAGAGUACAGUAGAGUAGGUGGGCAUGGUCCCUACCCUCAAGGAGCUUGCUAUCUUGUGGGAGAGGAGGUGCUGAAAUAAAUUACAGACAGGAGGAAUCAAUCUCUACAAAAGUGCCAUUCAUUUAAUCGUAUUUAUUGAGUACUUACAUGUGCAGAGCACUGUACUAAGCGCUUGGGAGAGUACAAUACAAAAAUGCAUCCACAUUCCCUGCCCACAGCAAACUUGCAGUGUAGAGGGGGAGGCAGACAUUAAUAGACAUAAAUAAAUUGCAGAGAAGUACUUGAGUGCUGUGGGACUGGGAGGGGGGAUGAAUAAAUGGAGCAAGUCAGGGUGAUGCAGAAGAGAGAGGGAGAAGAGGAAUGGAGGACUUAGUCAGGGAAUGCCUCUGGGAGGAGGUGGGCCUUCAAUAAGGCUUCGAAGCGGGGAGAGAGUCAUUGCCUCAGGAAACCCUAGGAAACACUUCCAGUCCACACUUGAUGGGUUCCAGCUUUGUCAGGCAAGGUUUAGUAUGGGGUGAGGUGGGGUAGGGUAGCCGAAUGGAAAAAGCACAGAAUUAGGAGUCAGGAGGCUUGGGUGCUAGUCCUGGCUGUGCUCUGUGACCUUAGGCAAGACAUUUAAUCUUGCUGUGCCUCAGCUUCCUCCCUGAUAAAAUACCUGUUCUCCCUCCUUCGGGCUACAGACGUUAUAUGGGACAGGGACUGUGUCCAAGUGGAUUAUCCUGUAUCUCCCAGGUGCUAUGUAUAGUGUAAAACAAGCAGUGUAGGUAUAAGGUAAUCAGGUAAGACACGGUCUCUGUCCUAUGUGGGGCUCACAGUCUUAUUCCCCAUUUUACAGAUGAGGAAACUGAGGCCCAAAGCAGUAAAGUGACUUGCCCAAGGUCACAAAGCAAACAUAUGGCAGGCGUGGAUUAGAACCCAAGUCCUCUGACUCCCAGGCCCAGGCUCAUUCCACAAGGCCAUGCUGCUUCUCUCACGCUGGCUGCCGACCGCAGACCUGUAGGUGAUCAGGAGAACUCCAGGGGGUGGGGAGGCCCCAACCCGCCGAGCCCCCAAACCCAGUAGGCCUGGGGGGUGAGGGCAGCCCUUCUGCCUGGGGGCCCCCACCCCAGGUGUGAAGC